rnacentral:rRNA from 1 species
GUCGAGCGGUAACAGAAAGUAGCUUGCUACUUUGCUGACGAGCGGCGGACGGGUGAGUAAUGCUUGGGAACAUGCCUUGAGGUGGGGGACAACAGUUGGAAACGACUGCUAAUACCGCAUAAUGUCUACGGACCAAAGGGGGCUUCGGCUCUCGCCUUUAGAUUGGCCCAAGUGGGAUUAGCUAGUUGGUGAGGUAAUGGCUCACCAAGGCAACGAUCCCUAGCUGGUUUGAGAGGAUGAUCAGCCACACUGGAACUGAGACACGGUCCAGACUCCUACGGGAGGCAGCAGUGGGGAAUAUUGCACAAUGGGCGAAGGCCUGAUGCAGCCAUGCCGCGUGUGUGAAGAAGGCCUUCGGGUUGUAAAGCACUUUCAGUCAGGAGGAAAGGGUGUGAGUUAAUACCUCACAUCUGUGACGUUACUGACAGAAGAAGCACCGGCUAACUCCGUGCCAGCAGCCGCGGUAAUACGGAGGGUGCGAGCGUUAAUCGGAAUUACUGGGCGUAAAGCGUACGCAGGCGGUUUGUUAAGCGAGAUGUGAAAGCCCCGGGCUCAACCUGGGAACUGCAUUUCGAACUGGCAAACUAGAGUGUGAUAGAGGGUGGUAGAAUUUCAGGUGUAGCGGUGAAAUGCGUAGAGAUCUGAAGGAAUACCGAUGGCGAAGGCAGCCACCUGGGUCAACACUGACGCUCAUGUACGAAAGCGUGGGGAGCAAACGGGAUUAGAUACCCCGGUAGUCCACGCCGUAAACGAUGUCUACUAGAAGCUCGGAACCUCGGUUCUGUUUUUCAAAGCUAACGCAUUAAGUAGACCGCCUGGGGAGUACGGCCGCAAGGUUAAAACUCAAAUGAAUUGACGGGGGCCCGCACAAGCGGUGGAGCAUGUGGUUUAAUUCGAUGCAACGCGAGAGCCUUACCUACACUUGACAUACAGAGAACUUACCAGAGAUGGUUUGGUGCCUUCGGGAACUCUGAUACAGUGCUGCAUGGCUGUCGUCAGCUCGUGUGUGAGAUGUGGGUAGUCCCGCACGAGCGCAACCCUAUCUUAGUGCUAGCAGUAUGCUGAAACCUCUAGGAGACUGCGUGAUAACGAGAGUGGGACGACGUCAGUCAUCAUGCUACGUGUAGGCUACCUCUGCUACAUGGCCAUACGAGGGCUGCGAAUUCGGGAGUAGGAUCCUAGUGGUCUAUAGAUGGUAUCGCACUCGAAUCAUGAUCGGAUGCCUAGAUAAUCCCGCCCUACAGAAGAUGACG